AGAGUGUUCGCGGGGGCCGCCAGCAGUGCGGUAAUAACGUCCCGAGGUGCUCUGUACACAUGGGGUCGCGGCACUCACGGCCGACUUGGCCACGGCACCAUCGAGAACUGCCUCACGCCUCAGCCGGUCUCUUUCAACGCACAUAACAUUGAACGAAUCAUUGAUAUUGCUUUGGGAUGGGGUGAAAGUCAGACACUUUGUUGUACGUGGGAAGGUGCAGUGCAAGUGUUUGGCGAUACAGAAGGCGGCGCGCCUCGAACUCUAACAUCACUCUCUGUGCUGCGAGUAACGCGGGUUUAUACCGGCGAACAUUUCCAUGCGGUACUUACGGAUGGUGGACAAGUGUAUACCUGGGGUAAUGGAGAUGGCUAUCGUCUCGGCCACGGCAACUUGGAGAGUUUGAAAGUACCGAAACAAAUAGAAGCUUUUCAAGGUAAGAAGUCAAAAAUGUAUUUUUGAAGUUU